ensembl:snRNA U6 U6 spliceosomal RNA
GUGUCCACUUUGGGAGCACCAAUACUAAAAUUAGAACAAUACAGAGAAGGUUGGCAUGUCCCCUGAGCAAGGAUGACACACAAAUUUUGUGAAGCCUUCCAUAUUAAA